GUAAAUUCAAGACUUGGUGAAAAACAACAACAACAACAUAAAAAAAAAAAAAAACAGGCACUCGGGUGGAGGACUCCUCCUGAGAAGUCAAACCUGCAUAUCUGGUGAGGGAUGCAGAGUCUGUAUGCGUUGCUGAACUCAGGUUCAGCUGCUCACCACUCAGAAGCCAAUAAUUUGAGAGGAAAAGAAUCAACAGUUUAGACAAGGCUCGGGCUUCCCAGGUAGUGCUGGUGGUAAAGAACCCACCUGCCAAUGCAGUUGACUUAAGAGAUACAGGUUCGGUGCCUGGAGGAGGAAAUGGCAACUCACUCCAAUAUUCUUGCCUGGGAAAUCCCAUGGACAGAGAAGCCUGGCAGGACACGACUGAAGCGACUUGGCAAGUAUGGAGUGCAUUCAGGAGAGCUAAGGAGUAAGUUUCAAUUGCUUAGUGAUCUCAUUCUUAUAAUUGGGCUCUGUUAAAGUUAGGAACAGAAGUGGGCCAACAGGAAAAGGGUUAAAGAGAGGCUUUCAAUUCCCCACUGCCAAACAUCAUUUCAUAUCUAUCGGACUAGGGGGCAAAGAUCCAUCUUCUGUAACUUCUUUAUGCUAACAAUGGGCACAGUAUUUAUUCUGAGUGGAAAAUGUUAACAUGGAUCUGUAGCCUGUCUUUGUUGACAAUUUCAGUUGCCUGCUGACAUAUAUGGGCAGAGUAAACUACAGUCAGUUUGAUCCUCACAAAGAUCUAGGUUAUUCUGAGACACGUAUGUUAAUCUGUUCUCAGUUGAGGCCAGUUCUUAGAACUGCACUAGCCAUGGCUUCAGUACUGCUCAAGAUGGAGCGGCUUAUGUCACGGCUGCAGUCUGGUCACUAUGCAGUUAGGGUCUUUCCCCCUGUUGGUGGUGUAACCACGCAUUCUGGGAAACAAACUCACUCAGAAGGGCAAUGCAGAUAGUGGAGUGCAGUUUAUUACACCGGCGGGCCCAAGGCAGAGUCUCCUCUUAGCCAAGGACCCCGACCAGCAUUUGUGAAAAUCUUUUAUACCCCAUGUGUAUGUGUCUGAACACACCACUCCAAAUUCCUUGAGACUUACAUAAACCAAGGAAAAUACAAUCCCAGUAGCCCCAUCAUUCAUGUGCUGUGUGCUCAUGUGCUCAACCAGUCAAACAGCUGGCCAAUAAUCAAUAAACCUGAGGUUACACUCUGAUAGAUACAGAAACAUUUAUGGCCUGUCUGGAGGAAGGGGUGAUUAGUGUAUGUUUUCUCUUACAUGAUGAGUAACCUAGAUAGGAUCUUCAAGGUUCGCUGUCUGGAGUGGGUCUUAUCCUUCUGUUGUUGUUUUCAUAGGCACUAAACACAGAGUUCAGAGUCUGUGUUUGGAAAGGUGGCUGAGCAUGAUCAGCAUGAACAGGCCUAAGAUGGAGUCCAGGCCCUAUGAAUUCCUUCUUCAUUGGCAGUUAUAGUAUUUGUAAAACAACUCAAGAACAUGCAUCAGACAGAGUCUGUGACUCUCUCGUCCUCAUCAGUAACUGCUUGGUUUGGUACAGGGAGAAGGGUGAGGGAAGGGUGGGGCCACCGCAGGCUAAUAGAUUCCGUUAAUAUCCUGAGGCCCACCCUAAGGUGGGUCCCCACCCUCUCCAGCCCUGAGUUCCUGCCUGAGUCAGCCUGGGUAAAGGGUAGGGAGUAGCCACUCCCAUCCAUAGUCUGGAGGGAGCCAGAGCAGAGGGAGGCUCACUUGGGGAUCCUACUGUAACAGGAGGGAAAGGGGCAAAGCACUACUUUUGAAAGAGUGACAUAGCCCAAGGACACAACAUAAACCGAUUAGAAUCAAAUGGGACUGAGAUGGCAGACAAGACUAGACCUUAAUCCUCAACCAGCAAGUGAAAAAAAAUGACACACCCAGAAGUGCCAGGACAGUUCCAAGGCACUGUCAAGACUAAGGAGAGGAUGGUGGCCCAAAUCCUGGAAAUCUCUGCCCCUUCCCAAAAAUAGUUGGAAUAAUCCUCCCACUCAUUAACAUAUGAAAUGACCCAGCUGAUAAGAACUAACCACACCCGGUUUGGCUGCUGCGCUCCCUCUUUGCCAUGGCCUACACUCUGUGGAGUGUGCCUCUUUCUGUAGCUGAAUAAAUUCAUUUCUCA
ensembl:lncRNA